AGUGAACGCUGGCGGUAGGUCUAACACAUGCAAGUCGAACGGCAGCACAGUAAGAGCUUGCUCUUACGGGUGGCGAGUGGCGGACGGGUGAGGAAUACAUCGGAAUCUACUUUUUCGUGGGGGAUAACGUAGGGAAACUUACGCUAAUACCGCAUACGACCUACGGGUGAAAGCAGGGGAUCUUCGGACCUUGCGCGAUUGAAUGAGCCGAUGUCGGAUUAGCUAGUUGGCGGGGUAAAGGCCCACCAAGGCGACGAUCCGUAGCUGGUCUGAGAGGAUGAUCAGCCACACUGGAACUGAGACACGGUCCAGACUCCUACGGGAGGCAGCAGUGGGGAAUAUUGGACAAAGGGCGCAAGCCUGAUCCAGCCAUACCGCGUGGGUGAAGAAGGCCUUCGGGUUGUAAGGCCCUUUUGUUGGGAAAGAAAAGCAGCAGGUUAAUACCCCGCUGUUCUGACGGUACCCAAAGAAUAAGCACCGGCUAACUUCGUG
rnacentral:rRNA from 1 species